GAUGAAGAACGUAGCAAAAUGCGAUAAGUAAUGUGAAUUGCAGAAUUCAGUGAAUCAUCGAAUCUUUGAACGCACAUUGCGCCCGCCAGUAUUCUGGCGGGCAUGCCUGUUCGAGCGUCAUUUCAACCCUCAAGCACAGCUUGGUGUUGGGACUCGCGUUAAUUCGCGUUCCCCAAAUUGAUUGGCGGUCACGUCGAGCUUCCAUAGCGUAGUAGUAAAACCCUUGUUACUGGUAAUCGUCGCGGCCACGCCGUUAAACCCCAACUUCUGAAUGUUGACCUCGGAUCAGGUAGGAAUACCCGCUGAACUUAAGCAUAUCAAUAAGCGGAGGA
rnacentral:misc_RNA from 1 species